rnacentral:rRNA from 1 species
AUUUUGAAAUGUAUUGCCAAUGGAGGCGCAGGUGCAAGCCUAUUGAAAGAAAGCGUCAACGAGGGUGAAAUUCCUUUUUGUCAUUUGCAGUCCUCCGUGCACGGUAUAUAUUUGACGAGUCACACUCCUCGGCAUUGGAAUGCAAAGUGGGUGGUAAAUUCCAUGUAAAGGUAAAUAUAUUAUUGAGACUGAUAGCAAACAAGUACCAUGAGGGAAAUAUGAAAAGGACUUUGAAAAGGGAAUUAAAAGAGUCUGCAUUUGCUGAACAGAAAGCAAACAGAAUUGAUGUGCUUGGUUGGAUUGUUGUGCCCACUCUGUCAUUUAUGUCGGAUGUGGGUGCGAUGGUUCUUACCUUGAAUGUCAGCUUCUAUUUCUGCAAAUCAUUACCCUUGCACAUGAAUGGUAAUUUGCCUGCGGGUAUUGGAAUGUAUGUGUUUGCAAUGAUUUGUGAUUUGAUGCAUGUGGUUGGUGGACUUUGUAUGUGCUGUUUUGCCAACGGGGAAGGGACUCUUCCUUGAGCACUGCAAGCCCUUGCACAUUGAUGCUGGCAAAAUGUUUCUGCUUGACCCGUCUUGAAACACGGACCAAGGAGUCUAACAGAUGUGCAAGUGCGUGGGUGGCAAACCUACUAACACAAUGAAAGUAUUGGCUGGGAUAUUUGCACCAGCAGCCGACUGAUUAGCAGACAGAGGUUUG